rnacentral:sRNA from 1 species
AUGGAGCGCGCAGGACCAUAAGGUCCUGCGCGCUUUUUUUAUCUCAAAAAACAAAACGGAAG